rnacentral:lncRNA from 1 species
UUUAAAUUCGGUCAACUUGUACUUCAUUAUGCUCUAUGUGGUGAGGUGCUUAUUUAAUUCCCACAAGGGUGGGGCAUGCCCUGUCUGGCUUAUUAAAAACAAAAUGCUCGUGAUUUUCUAGUCUAUGAAUUCUGGUAUUUUGCUCCUAUUAAGGUCUAUGAAUCUUGAUAUUGAAGUAUUUUUGUACAGAGAAAUUUACAAAUAUAUCUCCUACGUAUGCUCUUUUGUUAUGGGAUUAUGUGACUAUUUAUCUUUCGUUAUAUGGAGGUCAUAUUUUGUUCCUAACUAUUGGAUACUAGUCAAUGACACUUUAUGACUUUUUUACAACUCUAUGAAAAUCUUAUG